UGCGUGGGAAUGCUCAGAUGGGACCGGGGCGGAGGGUCCUGGCCAGACAAAGAAGUGAGCACCUUGGGCGCUCCAGCUGUGGCUGAACUACAACUCUAGCAUCCCAGGCACACAUGUUGGAAGUGGGUGCUGAGAGAUGUGUUUCUGCCACAGCUGGAGUGCCCAUUCCUUUGUCUCUUCCUUAAAACUUAGCCCUUACAGCGUUACUGGCACAAUGGUGCGUGAAUGAUAAUGGCUGGUACAGUGCUGCCUGCAUGGUGAUAGUGGGCUGUAGGUGAGGGUGCCUAUUGACUGCAUGGUGAGGGUGCCUAUGGGCUGUAGGUGAGGGUGCCUAUUGACUGCAUGGUGUGGGUGCCUAUGGGCUGUAGGUGAGGGUGCCUAUUGACUGCAUGGUGAGGGUGCCUAUGGGCUGUAGGUGAGGGUGCCUAUUGACUGCAUGGUGAGGGUGCCUAUGGGCUGUAGGUGAGGGUGCCUAUUGACUGCAUGGUGAGGGUGCCUAUGGGCUGUAGGUGAGGGUGCCUAUUGACUGCAUGGUGAGGGUGCUAGUGGGCUGUAGGUGAGGGUGCCUAUGGGCUGUAGGUGAGGGUGCCAAUGGGCUGCAUGGUGAGGGUGCCAAUGGGCUGCAUGGUGAGGGUGCCAAUGGGCUGCAUGGUGAGGGUGCCUAUGGGCUGUAGGUGAGGGUGCCAAUGGGCUGCAUGGUGAGGGUGGUACUAUUGUUGGCAUUGCUGCAGACUGUGAAUGAAUGGUGCCCCCUGUGCUUGUACCCCGGCACUAACCGGUGCUCCAUUGUGUCUCCCCCUCCCAG